rnacentral:rRNA from 1 species
UGGGGAAUAUUGCACAAUGGGGGAAACCCUGAUGCAGCGACGCCGCGUGGAGGAUGACGGCCUUCGGGUUGUAAACUCCUUUUGUCGGGGACAAUGGUGAUGGUACCCGACGAAUAAGCCACGGCUAACUCUGUGCCAGCAGCCGCGGUAAGACAGAGGUGGCGAGCGUUGUUCGGAAUUACUGGGCUUAAAGGGCGCGUAGGCGGUGGUGUAAGUCUAGGGUGGAAUGCUACAGCUCAACUGUAGAGCUGCCUUGGAAACUGCAUUACUUGAGUCGGUGAGGGGAAGGUGGAAUUCCAGGUGUAGCGGUGAAAUGCGUAGAUAUCUGGAGGAAGGUCUGUGGCGAAGGCGACCUUCUGGCACUUGACUGACGCUGAGGUGCGAAAGCGUGGGGAGCAAACA